CUGGAAUUGCUAGUAAUGGCAGGUCAGCAUACUGCCGUGAAUACGUUCCCGGGCCUUGUACACACCGCCCGUCACACCAUGAGAGUUGGGAAUACCCGAAGCCUGUGAGCUAACUUAUAGAGGCAGCAGUCGAAGGUAGAAUCAAUGAUUGGGGUGAAGUCGUAACAAGGUAGC
rnacentral:rRNA from 1 species